UAUAAAGCAUGGUGUUUCUUUGUUCU
rnacentral:piRNA from 1 species